GACGAACGCUGGCGGCGUGCUUAACACAUGCAAGUCGAACGGAAAGGCCUGCUUUCCCUUGUGGAUUGCGGGUACUCGAGUGGCGAACGGGUGAGUAACACGUGAGUGAUCUGCCCCCAACUUGGGUAUAAGCCUGGGAAACUGGGUCUAAUUCCCGAUAGGACUGCAGGGUGGUGCCUGUGGUGGAAAACGAUUUUCUAGUGGUUGGGGAUGAGCUCGCGGCCUAUCAGCUUGUUGGUGGGGUAAUGGCCUACCAAGGCGGCGACGGGUAGCCGGCCUGAGAGGGUGGACGGCCACAUUGGGACUGAGAUACGGCCCAGACUCCUACGGGAGGCAGCAGUGGGGAAUAUUGCACAAUGGGCGGAAGCCUAAUGCAGCGACGCCGCGUGGGGGAUGACGGCCUUCGGGUUGUAAACUCCUUUCGACCGCGAGGAAGCCACCUGGUUGGAAGGGUGGUGACGGUAGUGGUAGAAGAAGCACCGGCUAACUACGUG
rnacentral:rRNA from 1 species